UACAGAGUGGGCGAGCGUUAUUCGGAAGUACUGGGCGUAAAGCGUGCGCAGGCGGUUGUGCAAGACAGGUGUGAAAUCCCCGGGCUUAACCUGGGAACUGCACUUGUGACUGCACGGCUGGAGUACGGCAGAGGGGGAUGGAAUUCCGCGUGUAGCAGUGAAAUGCGUAGAUAUGCGGAGGAACACCGAUGGCGAAGGCAGUCCCCUGGGCCUGUACUGACGCUCAUGCACGAAAGCGUGGGGAGCAAACAGG
rnacentral:rRNA from 1 species